CGGGCUAGGUAUAAGAUUUAUUUAAUUUAUCUGAUAAAUAACUAUAGUAGCGUGUUCACAGAAACAGUUCUGAAAAUCUUUUAUAAAAUUCGUCUAACCUAGCGGUUUCUACGAAUGAAACGUGUAGAAACCGUUCCGCUUUUCCCUCUUCUUUUCUGAAGACUUGCACAGACGGUUUUCACAAACUGAUCAUCUGAAAAUUCUCAUUCUCCAACUUUAUAUUCUGCUAUUUUCUCCUUUCGUUUCACAACCAUUCAAAAAACUCUGAAAAACCUUCUUUGUUAAAGUUCUUCAAGUAUUCAAGUUUUAGUUGCUGCCAAGAAAUCAAGAAUUCUUGUGCGGCGCAAUUAGGAUCUCUAUCCCCGAGUUAAGUGUUAGUCAAGUUUGCUAUCAAAGGUUCGAGGCGAGGAGCAGGGAGAUGCGUGAUGGAUGUGUGUGGUGCUUAGGAUAUUUUAAUCAUGCUUUCUAUAGUUUUAUUAAAGACUCUUUGUUGGUUAAGAAAAAUUUAGGAUUUGAAGUAAGUUUAUUUUGAUGGUAAAGUUUAAGAAUUUCUAGUGAAUCAUAUUUGACUUUCUUAUAUAAUGUUAGGUACUUUGAUAAAUUAGUGUUAUGUUUUCAAUCUAGUGUGUAUGGUAUUUUUCUAAAAAUGAUAUUUGGUGGUUUUACCUUCGAUUAUUAGGUUCUCUACAGGGUUUUGAAAUUAGAUUAUUUGAGUUUUCAAUAUUUUUACGAAAAUACUAUAUGAUAUUUAAUUAGAUCAAAGUUUAUAUUUAGGGUGUUACAUUUAGUGGUAUCAGAGCAGGUCUACGUUUCUG